rnacentral:rRNA from 1 species
AUGGCGGCCCUGAUGGCCACCAUGGCCAUCCGGCCACUGGUGUCCAUGCUGAUGAACAAGGCGUCCAGCUCCCUCCUGGACCAGUACAAGGUGAUGGAGGGAAUGGAGGAGCAGCACAAGAUUCUCAAGCGCAAGCUCCCGGCCAUCCUCGACGUCAUGACUGACGCCGAGGAGCAGGCGACGGAGCAUAGAGAUGGGGCCAAAGCCUGGCUCCAGGAGCUCAAGACUGUGGCCUAUGAGGCCAAUGAAGUCUUCGACGAGUUCAAGUAUGAAGCACUCCGCCGUGAAGCCAGGAAGAAGGGGCACUACAGAGAGCUUGGAUUUGAUGUAAUUAAACUCUUCCCUACUCACAACCGUAUUGUGUUCCGUUACAAAAUGGGCCGCAAGCUUUGCCGGAUUCUGAAGGCCAUUGAUGUCCUCAUAGCUGAGAUGCAUGCCUUUAGGUUCAAGUACCGACCACAGCCGCCAGUGUUCAAGCAGUGGAGGCAGACGGAUUAUGUUAUCAUCGACCCACAAGAAAUUGCUAGCAGAUCCAGAGACAAAGAUAAGAGGAACAUUGUUGAUUUACUACUUGGUAAAGCUAGCAAUGCAGAUCUCGCAGUUGUUCCCAUUGUAGGAAUGGGGGGGCUUGGUAAGACCACAUUAGCGCAGCUUAUAUACAAUGAACCUGAUGUUCAGAAGCAUUUCCAGUUGUUGCUCUGGGUCUGUGUCUCUGAUACCUUUGAUGUGAACUCCCUGGCUAAGAGUAUAGUUGAAGCAUCUCCCAAGAAAAAUGAUGAUACAGACAAACCACCAUUGGAUAGACUUCAAAAGCUGAUCAGCGGGCAGAGGUAUCUCCUUGUAUUGGAUGAUGUCUGGAACAGAGAGGUUAGUAAGUGGGAAAGGCUGAAGGUAUGUCUUCAACAUGGUGGCAGUGGUAGUGCAGUGUUGACGACAACUCGUGAUAAACAAGUUGCUGAAAUUAUGGGUGCAAAUAGAACAUACAACCUCAAUGCUUUGGGUGAUAGCUUUAUAAAGGAAAUUAUUGAGGCUAGAGCAUUUGGUUCAGAGAAAGAAAAGCCUGCUGAACUAGUCGAGAUGGUUGAUGAGAUUGUGAAGAGAUGUUCUGGCUCUCCAUUAGCUGCAACGGCACUGGGCUCUGUGCUUAGUUCGAAGACGAGCGUGAAUGAAUGGAAGGAUGUAUCAUCUCGAAGCAGCAUUUGCACCAAGCAAACUGGAAUUUUGCCAAUACUCAAGCUUAGCUAUAAUGACUUGCCUGCACACAUGAAGCAGUGCUUUGCUUUCUGUGCUGUAUUUCCCAAGGAUUACAAGAUUAACGUGGAGAAGCUGAUCCAACUAUGGAUCACAAAUGGCUUUAUCCCAGAGCAUGAGGAAGAUAGUCUUGAAACCAGUGGAAAACAUAUUUUUGAUGAGCUGGCCUCAAGGUCAUUCUUUCUGGACAUAGAGAAAAGUAAAGAUGACUCUGAGUAUUAUUCAUGUAAAAUCCAUGAUCUUAUGCAUGAUAUUGCAAUGUCUGUCAUGGGAAAGGAAUGUGUUGUUGCAACUAGGAAACCAAGUCAAAUUGAGUGGCUUCCGGAUACUGCUCGGCAUUUAUUUUUGUCAUGUAGAAAAGCAGAAGAUAUUUUGAAUGAUUCUAUGGAGAAAAGAUCCCCUGCUAUCCAAACUCUUCUAUGUGAUAGUUCUAUUGGAAGCUCAUUGCAGCAUCUAUCAAAAUACAGAUCUUUGCAUGCCUUGAAGCUCUGUAUAAAGACAGAAUCAUUUGUACUGAAACCAAAGUACCUUCUUCACCUGAGGUACCUUGAUCUCUCAGAAAGUUCUAUCAAAUCACUUCCUGAAGAUACAAGUAUUCUAUAUGGCUUGCAAAUUUUAGACCUCUCCAACUGCCGCUAUCUUGAACGACUUCCAAGGCAAAUGAAGUACAUGACUUCCCUCUGCCACCUUUACACUCAUGGAUGUCCGGAGUUGAAGAGCAUGCCUCCAGAACUAGGAAAGCUCACCAAGCUGCAGACGCUUACAUGUUUUGUAGCAGCAGAUACUGGACCUGAUUGUAGUGAUGUUACAGAGCUGCAGGAUUUAAACCUUGGUAAUCAGCUAGAGCUACGUCAAAUGGAGAAUAUUGAAAAAGCAGAAGCAAAAGUGGCAAACCUUGGAAAAAAGAAGGAUAUCAGAGAACUGACACUAAGAUGGAAUUCUGUUUGCGACACCAAGGUGCUUGACAAUUUCGAACCACAUCAAGGGCUGUAUGUUCUGAAGAUACAUUCCUAUGGAGGAAAGUGCAUUGGUAUGUUGCAAAACAUGGUUGAGAUCCAUCUUUUUCUUUGUGCAAGAUUGCAAUUUUUGUUCAGAUGCAGCACAUCCUUCACUUUUCCAAAACUGAAGGUGCUUAGGCUAGAAAGUCUGUUUGAUUUUGAGAGAUGGUUGCAAAAAAAUGAGAGGCAAGAAAAACAGAUAAUAUUUCCUCUGCUUGAGAAGUUGUUUAUUAGGCACUGUGGAAAGUUGGCAGCAUUGCAAGACGCACAACAGUUUGAUGAACCGUGUGGUGGGCAUCAUAGUUUGGUGUUUCCUGCAUUGAAAGUACUCGAAUUGGAAGAUUUGGAGAGCUUUCAGAGAUGGAAUGCAGUCGAAGGGACUCAAGGAGAACAGAUAUUGUUUCCUCGUCUUGAGAAACUAUCUAUUGAAAAAUGCCCAAAACUGGUAGCAUUUCCUGAAGCACCAUUGCUGCAAGAACCUUGUAGCGGAGGUGGCUAUAGAUUAGUACGCUUAGCGUUUCCUGCCCUUAAGGUACUUGUAAUGAAUGACUUGGAUAGCUUUCAGAGAUGGAAUGCAGUUGAAGAGACUCGAGGAGAACAUAUAUGGUUUCCUCAGCUUGAGAAACUAUCAGUUCAGAGAUGCCCAGAGAUGAUAGAUUUACCCGAAGCACCAAAACUCAGUGUGUUGGAAAUUGAAGAUGGCAAGCAAGAGAUCUUCCAUUUUGUGGAUGGAUAUUUGUCUUCACUGACCAAUCUGAUACUGAAGCUGAAAAACACAGAAACAGCAUCAGAGGCUGAGUGCAGUUCAAUUGUAGCCGUGGACAGCAAGGAGAAAUGGAACCAGAAAUCCCUUCUUAAAGUUAUGGAGUUAAGAUGCUGCAACUCAUUUUUUGGAUCAGGUGCACUAGAGCCGUGGGACUAUUUUGUACAUCUUGAAGAGUUAAAUAUUGAUGGAUGUGAUGUGCUCGUCCACUGGCCAGAAAAAGUGUUCCAAACCUUGGUGUCUUUGAGGAGAUUAGCGAUUAAAUUCUGCAAAAAUUUGAGUGGAUAUGCAGAAGCUCCUCUUGAGCCAUCAGCAUCCGAAAGGAGUCGACACCUGCCAGGUCUGAAGUUUCUUGUGUUGCAGAAUUGUGCAAGUUUGGAAGAGAUUUUCGAUAUCCCAGCUUCUCUCAAGAGCAUGAGUAUUACUCAGUGCAUUAAGCUUGAGUCCAUAUUUGGCAAGCAGCAGAGGGUGUCAAAGUUAAAUCAAGUUUCUUCUUGCAGUGAGGCAAGCGUGCCCACAGCUAUAUCGGAGUUGCCAUCCUCACCCAUGAAUGACUUUUCUCCAUGCCUAGAAUCUCUAUAUUUAUCUGGAUGUGAUAGUUUAUCAACAGUUAUAAAUAUUCCGCCAUCUGUGAAGACCAUAGUUAUGUCUGGCUUCAAUAGCAUUAAAGUCUUAUCGUGUCAACUGGAUGAGGUCCAAAACACCUCCACUGAUGUACCAGAGCCAUCAACAACAGCUGCAAGAGAGUAUUCCCUUCCUCCUAAACUCCAAACUCUGAGAAUAUCAUUCUGUACUGGCAUCUUUGGGGGUAUUCUCCGUCUUCCCACAUCCCUCAAGAAACUGAGCAUUAAUUACUGCAUUCACUUGACAUCGCUGGAGUCUCUGUCGGCAGAGCACCCCCCAUCGUUGGAGUCCCUUUUGGUUGAAAGCUGCAGUACCCUGGCAUCCCUACCGGUUGAGCCGCAAGUAUACAGGUCUAUCCAAACUCUUAGAAUUAAAGAUUGUCCAGCAAUAAAGAAGCUCCCUAGAUGUCUGCAGCAGCAACUGGGAAGCAUCAACCGGAAAAGUCUAGAUGCCAAGUAUAAAGUCACGGAAUUUGAACCAUUGAAGCCGAAGACAUGGAAGGAGAUACCAAGAUUAGUCCGCGAGCGGGGGCAGGCGUACUGCAAUUGA